CCUACGGGAGGCAGCAGUGAGGAAUAUUGGUCAAUGGACGCGAGCCUGAACCAGCCAAGUAGCGUGAAGGAUGACUGCCCUACGGGCUGUAAACUUCUUUUAUAAAGGAAUAAAGUGAGGCACGUGUGCCUUUUUGUAUGCACUUUAUGAAUAAGGAUCGGCUAACUCCGUGCCAGCAGCCGCGGUAAUACGGAGGAUCCGAGCGUUAUCGGGAUUUAUUGGGUUUAAAGGGAGCGUAGAUGGGUUGUUAAGUCAGUUGUGAAAGUUUGCGGCUCAACCGUAAAAUUGCAAUUGAUACUGGCAGCCUUGAGUACAGGUGAGGUAAGCGGAAUUCGUGGUGUAGCGGUGAAAUGCGUAGAUAUCACGAAGAACACCGAUUGCGAAGGCAGCUUACUAAACUGCCACUGACAUUGAUGCUCGAAAGUGUGGGUAUCAAACAGGAUUAGAUACCCGAGUAGUC
rnacentral:rRNA from 1 species